UCGUUAGCAAGAGCUAACGUUAGCUAGCAAGAGUUCCGGCAGGUGAUGUCACGCAAUCCCAGCAUGCACCAGUCAAUAUCAAAACACUGCCAUCGGAGCUGAGCCAGAGUUAGCUAGCUACGUUACUAGCUAGCUAGUUGCACCUAUUGUAGAUAGCUAGCUAGAUGAAUAGAUAAUUUUUAUUGAUCCCAAGGGGAAAUAAUUUGCUGCCUAUUUAAUAAACGCCUUGAUUCAGCAUGGUGGAUAGCUGCUGUGCGUCGGGAUGCCAGAACCAUCGGAAAAAAAGAUAAUGGAUAGCAUUUUAUGAGAUGCCUAGCUAGCUAAAGAUCCCGAGAGAAGAAGUAAAUGGAUUGCUUCCAUAAAACGUGCUAGAAGCAGACAGAACCAAACCGAACCAUGGGAGCCCACAAACAAUGGAUUUCGGUUAUGCUGUGACCACUUUAUAUCAGUUGCUGAGAGCCGAAGGUGUUGGCGUCCGGUUGGUGGUAUCUCCUUCCCUUUGUGCUGUGUCGCCCCGUUUUCAUUUGCUGUGUUCACUGUUGUGUUUUUGUGUGUUCACGGGUGACUUUCCCUGGGUUCCCCCUUACUGCCCUCGUACCCCCUUCUCCACCACUGGUAAGCCUCAGCACAAUUAUUUUCUCCCUUUUUGGUGUGAAUGUGUUUUAAAU